rnacentral:rRNA from 1 species
GAUGAACGCUGGCGGCGUGCCUAAUACAUGCAAGUCGAGCGAACAGACGAGGAGCUUGCUCCUCUGACGUUAGCGGCGGACGGGUGAGUAACACGUGGAUAACCUACCUAUAAGACUGGGAUAACUUCGGGAAACCGGAGCUAAUACCGGAUAACAUGUUGAACCGCAUGGUUUAACAGUGAAAGACGGUCUUGCUGUCACUUAUAGAUGGAUCCGCGCCGCAUUAGCUAGUUGGUAAGGUAACGGCUUACCAAGGCAACGAUGCGUAGCCGACCUGAGAGGGUGAUCGGCCACACUGGAACUGAGACACGGUCCAGACUCCUACGGGAGGCAGCAGUAGGGAAUCUUCCGCAAUGGGCGAAAGCCUGACGGAGCAACGCCGCGUGAGUGAAGAAGGUCUUCGGAUCGUAAAACUCUGUUAUUAGGGAAGAACAAAUGUGUAAGUAACUAUGCACGGCUUGACGGUACCUAAUCAGAAAGCCACGGCUAACUACGUG